rnacentral:rRNA from 1 species
CCUACGGGAUGCAGCAGUGAGGAAUAUUGGUCAAUGGGCGCGAGCCUGAACCAGCCAAGUAGCGUGAAGGAUGACUGCCCUACGGGUUGUAAACUUCUUUUAUAAAGGAAUAAAGUGAGGCACGUGUGCCUUUUUGUAUGUACUUUAUGAAUAAGGAUCGGGUAACUCCGUGCCAGUAGCCGCGGUAAUACGGAGGAUCCGAGCGUUAUCCGGAUUUAUUGGGGUUAAAGGGAGCGUAGAGGGGUUGUUAAGUCAGUUGUGAAAGUUUGCGGCUCAACCGUAAAAUUGCAAUUGAUACUGGCAGCCUUGAGUACAGUAGGGGUAGGCGGAAUUCGUGGUGUAGCGGUGAAAUGCUUAGAUAUCACGAAGAACUCCGAUUGCGAAGGCAGCUUACUAAACUGCCACUGACGUUGAUGCUCGAAAGUGUGGGUAUCAAACAGGAUUAGAUACCCUAGUAGUC